rnacentral:rRNA from 1 species
GACGAACGCUGGCGGCGUGCCUGACACAUGCAAGUCGUACGGUCCGUGAUUGAUCAAGCUUGCUUGAUUGGUCGUGGAUAGUGGCGGACGGGUGAGUAACGCGUGAACACCUACCCAUUGGAGGGGUACAACCCGUCGAAAGGCGGGCUAAUACCGCGUAAGCCGCGAGGUGAAAGGCUGCCUUUUGGUGGCUGCCGAUGGAUGGGUUCGCGUCCUAUCAGCUUGUUGGUGGGGUAAUGGCCUACCAAGGCGAAGACGGGUAGCCGGUCUGAGAGGAUGGCCGGCCACACUGGGACUGAGACACGGCCCAGACUCCUACGGGGGGCAGCAGUGGGGGAUCUUGCACAAUGGGCGAAAGCCUGAUGCAGCGACGCCGCGUGAGCGAAGAAGGCCUUCGGGUUGUAAAGCUCUGUCUGGAGGGACGAACAAAAUGACGGUACCUCCGGAGGAAGCCACGGCUAACUACGUGCCAGCAGCCCGGUAAUCUCGUCUCUA